CAUGCAAGUCGAACGAUGAUGCCCAGCUUGCUGGGCGGAUUAGUGGCGAACGGGUGAGUAAUACGUGAGUAACCUGCCCUUGACUCUGGGAUAAGCCUGGGAAACUGGGUCUAAUACUGGAUACUACUUCCUGCCGCAUGGUGGGUGGUGGAAAGGGUUUUACUGGUUUUGGAUGGGCUCACGGCCUAUCAGCUUGUUGGUGGGGUAAUGGCUCACCAAGGCGACGACGGGUAGCCGGCCUGAGAGGGUGACCGGCCACACUGGGACUGAGACACGGCCCAGACUCCUACGGGAGGCAGCAGUGGGGAAUAUUGCACAAUGGGCGGAAGCCUGAUGCAGCGACGCCGCGUGAGGGAUGACGGCCUUCGGGUUGUAAACCUCUUUCAGUAGGGAAGAAGCGAGAGUGACGGUACCUGCAGAAGAAGCGCCGGCUAACUACGUGCCAGCAGCCGCGGUAAUACGUAGGGCGCAAGCGUUGUCCGGAAUUAUUGGGCGUAAAGAGCUCGUAGGCGGUUUGUCGCGUCUGCUGUGAAAGCCCGGGGCUCAACCCCGGGUCUGCAGUGGGUACGGGCAGACUAGAGUGCAGUAGGGGAGACUGGAAUUCCUGGUGUAGCGGUGAAAUGCGCAGAUAUCAGGAGGAACACCGAUGGCGAAGGCAGGUCUCUGGGCUGUUACUGACGCUGAGGAGCGAAAGCAUGGGGAGCGAACAGGAUUAGAUACCCUGGUAGUCCAUGCCGUAAACGUUGGGCACUAGGUGUGGGGGACAUUCCACGUUUUCCGCGCCGUAGCUAACGCAUUAAGUGCCCCGCCUGGGGAGUACGGCCGCAAGGCUAAAACUCAAAGGAAUUGACGGGGGCCCGCACAAGCGGCGGAGCAUGCGGAUUAAUUCGAUGCAACGCGAAGAACCUUACCAAGGCUUGACAUUCACCGGACCGCCCCAGAGAUGGGGUUUCCCUUCGGGGCUGGUGGACAGGUGGUGCAUGGUUGUCGUCAGCUCGUGUCGUGAGAUGUUGGGUUAAGUCCCGCAACGAGCGCAACCCUCGUUCUAUGUUGCCAGCACGUGAUGGUGGGGACUCAUAGGAGACUGCCGGGGUCAACUCGGAGGAAGGUGGGGAUGACGUCAAAUCAUCAUGCCCCUUAUGUCUUGGGCUUCACGCA
rnacentral:rRNA from 1 species